rnacentral:snoRNA from 22 species
AAGGCCCUCAUGAACAAUCCCACCGGUGAGUGUACUCAUUUAGUCUCGUGCGUGGACCUAGGAGCGCCAAGA